rnacentral:rRNA from 1 species
UGGGGAAUAUUGGACAAUGGGGGCAACCCUGAUCCAGCCAUGCCGCGUGAGUGAUGAGGGCCUUCGGGUUGUAAAGCUCUUUUGGCGGGGACGAUGAUGACGGUACCCGCAGAAUAAGCCCCGGCUAACUUCGUGCCAGCAGCCGCGGUAAGACGAAGGGGGCAAGCGUUGUUCGGAAUUACUGGGCGUAAAGGGCGCGUAGGCGGUUUGCUUAGUCAGGCGUGAAAGCCCUGGGCUUAACCUGGGAUGUGCGCUUGAUACUGGCAGGCUUGAGUGUGGGAGAGGUUGGUGGAAUUCCCAGUGUUGAGGUGAAAUUCGUAGAUAUUGGGAAGAACACCGGUGGCGAAGGCGGCCAACUGGACCACAACUGACGCUGAGGCGCGAAAGCGUGGGGAGCAAACA